rnacentral:misc_RNA from 1 species
GAUGAAGAACGUAGCGAAAUGCGAUAAGUAAUGUGAAUUGCAGAAUUCAGUGAAUCAUCGAAUCUUUGAACGCACAUUGCGCCCGCUAGUAUUCUGGCGGGCAUGCCUGUCCGAGCGUCAUUUUAACCCUCAAGCCCCCGGGCUUGGUGUUGGGGAUCGGCGAGCCUCCGCGCCCGCCGUCCCCUAAAUCUAGUGGCGGUCUCGCUGUAGCUUCCUCUGCGUAGUAGCACACCUCGCACUGGGAAACAGCGCGGCCACGCCGUUAAACCCCCAACUUCUGAACGUUUGACCUCGGAUCAGGUAGGAAUACCCGCUGAACUUAAGCAUAUCAAUAAGCGGAGGA